CCCCUCGCUCGGGCCCCGGCCCCGCGCCGCGCGCUCUUCACUUCUUGGGGGCUUUUUAAAACAGCGCCACUGGGGUCUUCUCCAUGCGGCUCGGGCUAUGACAGCCUCCGUGCUCCUCCACCCCCGCUGGAUCGAGCCCACAGUCAUGUUUCUCUACGACAACGGCGGCGGCCUGGUGGCCGACGAGCUCAACAAGAACAUGGAAGGGGCGGCGGCGGCUGCAGCAGCGGCGGCAGCGGCGGCGGCGGCCGGGGCCGGGGGCGGGGGCUUCCCCCACCCGGCGGCCGCGGCGGCAGGGGGCAACUUCUCGGUGGCGGCGGCGGCCGCGGCCGCGGCGGCGGCCGCGGCCAACCAGUGCCGCAACCUGAUGGCGCACCCGGCGCCCUUGGCGCCAGGAGCCGCGUCCGCCUACAGCAGCGCCCCCGGGGAGGCGCCCCCGUCGGCUGCCGCCGCUGCUGCCGCCGCUGCCGCUGCAGCCGCCGCCGCCGCCGCCGCGUCGUCCUCUGGAGGGCCCGGCCCGGCGGGCCCGGCGGGCGCAGAGGCCGCCAAGCAAUGCAGCCCCUGCUCGGCAGCGGCGCAGAGCUCGUCGGGGCCUGCGGCGCUGCCCUAUGGCUACUUCGGCAGCGGCUACUACCCGUGCGCUCGCAUGGGCCCGCACCCCAACGCCAUCAAGUCGUGCGCGCAGCCCGCCUCGGCCGCCGCCGCUGCCGCCUUCGCGGACAAGUACAUGGAUACCGCCGGCCCAGCUGCCGAGGAGUUCAGCUCCCGCGCUAAGGAGUUCGCCUUCUACCACCAGGGCUACGCAGCCGGGCCUUACCACCACCAUCAGCCCAUGCCUGGCUACCUGGAUAUGCCAGUGGUGCCGGGCCUCGGGGGCCCCGGCGAGUCGCGCCACGAGCCCUUGGGUCUUCCCAUGGAAAGCUACCAGCCCUGGGCGCUGCCCAACGGCUGGAACGGCCAAAUGUACUGCCCCAAAGAGCAGGCGCAGCCUCCCCACCUCUGGAAGUCCACUCUGCCCGACGUGGUCUCCCAUCCCUCGGAUGCCAGCUCCUAUAGGAGGGGGAGAAAGAAGCGCGUGCCUUAUACCAAGGUGCAAUUGAAAGAACUUGAACGGGAAUACGCCACGAAUAAAUUCAUUACUAAAGACAAACGGAGGCGGAUAUCAGCCACGACGAAUCUCUCUGAGCGGCAGGUCACAAUCUGGUUCCAGAACAGGAGGGUUAAAGAGAAAAAAGUCAUCAACAAACUGAAAACCACUAGUUAAUGGAUUAAAAAUGGAGCAAGAAGGCAACUUGAAGAAACGCUUCAGAACUCGUUGCUUUACCCAGAUAAUGAUAAUAAUGCUUAAUAAUAAUUGAAGAAUGGGAAAGAGAAAGAGACAGACACUGGCAUUUUGCUCUCCUGAAGGAGAUCUCUUUCUCUUUAAUGGAAUCUACAACUGUUUUAAAACUUUAAGAAAGGUAAAGACUGCCGGUUCUUCCGCCAACCCCACCAGCCCAGCCCGUUAAAUGUCAAACGUCAACCCCCAAAAUACGCAAUUUCAGAUAAGUUACACAGUUACUGAAAUCUUAUGUAAGAAAUAUUCUGAGCCUCGAGCCUACGAAGGAGGCCAACAGCAGCUCUCCAGCCCGGAUCCCGCCCCUUUCGAAAGCCAUCACCACUACUGGAACCCUGGGUAAAGUAGUACCCUUCUUUUUUUCUCUCUCUAGUUUUUGAAACUGUAAUGACAGAAGACAUUUCAGGGUUGUUGUGGGUUUUUCCCCCCAGUUCUAAAAUGGUCAUUGAUAGUGUCGAUCUUACCUAACGCUCCUCCUAUUUAAAAUUUCUGUGGAUCUACCAGAUAACCUGAAGUGGGCAUGGAUUAUUUAUUAUGGCUCCUUUAAUGCCCAAAUAGCAAUCAGUCUAAAACCUUAAAAAAACAAAAAUAAAAACAACCAAAAAAAAAAAAAAAAAAAAACAAGGAGAGACCAGCCACCUCCUGAAAAAUAGGAAUAAUAGUAUCAGCCACUGAUCCAUGGAUAACGUUGUUGAAAGCCUGAUUAAAGUAUUUUUUUUCUAAAAAGAAAACUCUUCCUGAAUAAAAAAUAAUAAAAAUGGGACUUUAAAAAAAGACCCUAGUUUUCUAUCUGCUCUCAGUACUAUCAUAUUUAUUUAGUUAUUUUAAGUGGAUGAUUGUUAAAUGUCGCUGUGCAUUUCACUCCUAUUUGUGACUGAUGCAGAGCUGAAGCCACCCAUUCAAGUUAUUCAAGUUGUGGGUUUAAAAAAAAAAUUAACAGAAAAGGAAAGAGAAAAAUUAAAACAACCUAGUUGAAAUCUUUUCUUAAAAAUUCACCACUAGGCAGCAAAAUUCAGCUGCAGAUGCAAUAUUUGUGUGCAGAGGGUUGACACAGAUUUCACUUUGUAAUAGAUGUAAGUGCAGAUUGCACUCUGCUGCAUGUGUUUGGAGGGCUUGGUGAAGAUACAAUGUCUUGCUUCCUCUGCGAAUUCCCGAGUUCAGGAACAGAGACGGAGGUUGCCCUGGACUGCUAAUCCCCAGACCCGGUGGGUUCAGAGGCGCCCUCCUGGAUUUGCGGACCUCUCCCAAGGAGACGCUAGGGGCUUGCUGAUUUAUGCGCAUUCCUUUAAACUUGAUCGAAUGCAUGUCAGCCGACCAAGACCUGGAGAAUCAGAGAAAUGUGCAGCGAGUUGCUCACAUCCCAUUUCUCAUAAGCAAAGAUGUAGCGUUAUCCAAAAGGCAGAGGGAGAUUUAUGCCUAGAUUUUAGGACAGGCACGCUAAUUAAGUUUUCAUCUGCUAGGCCGCCGGGUCCAUAACAGCCGGCCUCAUUCUUUAUGAAAAUGCCCACUCAAUCCUCGUGCAUCUACCUAUCUCUGAUGAAUGCCUGAGAAGUGCUUGCUAUUUUUAAUUUUAUUUUAAAGGGAAGAAAAAAGACACUGGCGCAGAAAAAUUCCUCCGUGAAAGCAGCCAAGGCCUUGCCACAGUUGAUUUCAUUUCUGCCCGGCUCUCGUGACGCUGAAGAGCCGGAUCCACCGGGCAGAAAUAAUUACAACGGGUCUCAGAGAUUUCCAAACCUCUGCCGGCGGUUGUGCGGCGACAUAGGGCCUCCCCCAGGUACUGGGGUGUGAACUCGGAGAGCUACCUGAUGUCGCGCCCCUCGGGGACAGAGGCGCGGCCCCAAACCCUCCACGCUUCUACAAGAACCCCCUACUCAAAAUGGAGGCUCAGGCCGGUGUAAAGCCGGCCUCCCUCUGACGGCACGCGGGCCGGUCGGGGCUGCGGCAGGACGGCGGGCGGAGGUCCCGGCGCGGAACCGCGAAGGCCGUGUCUGUGCGGGUGAGUGGUCCCGCAACUGCAGGCUGACGUCACCGCAGGCCACGCGGGCCUUCGUGGGGCUCCCCGGGCGCGGCUGGAUCAGGACAAGCCGACUUAAAGGAAUGUUUGGUGUGGGUGCCCACUUCCCCGCCCCGCCCCGCCCUCCCCAGGAGAAUAAUCGGGUAUUUAAUCUCUCCCGGUCUUAAUUCUUGGCAGCGUGGAAGGUGGCUUGCAAUGGGAAAUAAAACUUGACAGGAGCAUUUUCUCUAAAAGGGAUUUUGAGACGAGCUGAAAAGAAACCGUGUUUUUCUCUACCAAAUACUUCCGCUUUCUGAGCCCGGAGCCGAGGGGUGGGAGCUAUCCGAGGGAGCGGAGAGCGAGCCUGGCACGCGGGGCUACGCUGUGCACCCCAGCGGCCGCGCCGUCCGCCCGGGAGGGAGGCAGCCUCGGGCUGCGCUGCGCCCCGCGCCUCUGCCACGCUCCGCGCAGCUGGGCUGUAGGCCCCGGAGCCGCCUGCAGCCCGAGGCCGGGACCCCGCGCACGGGACCGUGGCACCGGCAGGUCCCGGCUGGCACCCAGAGUGGUACCCAGGAGCUGGCUGAGGGCGGCUGGGGUCAGGCGAGAGAAGAGGGCCCUGGAGAGGGCCUUAAGGAGCUUAGCGUUAGCUCUGAGCCUCUGGCCUGGGGGGUUGGCGACAGCAGCUUGCAAGAAGGGUGGUGAGAGCAGGGCUGGGGGCUUUGUUUCCGGCCGCGGGUCUGCGGACACUGCACAAAAUGGAGGGGGAAAGGGGGUGAGCGCGCAGCAGGCGUGGGUCGAGCGGACUGCUAUUGGGUGGAGGAGGCUGGAGAGAGCAGCGUCCCCCUCCCAGCGGCUCAGCCAGCGCCCUCCUCUCGCGCCGUAAAGGUCAAGUCCUCCGCGCCACGGCCGCCUCCAUGGUCAGGGCCGAUCGCUGCCGCCGCCUCAAGAAGGCACAGGACACACAGUUAGCUUGCUGCAAGCGGGUUCUGGUAGCCUGGGCUCUGGGCUCGUGCACUGGAGGCAGAGGUUCUUUCUUGAUUUCCAACUCUCCCAUCCCCAGACCUGUUGGAAAGGAGUCCCGGCAGCCACGGGUGGCCCAGGCCGUGUCCCCGUCCCAGAAGAGCGGGGUUUGCCCCAGUCCAGCAGACUUCGGAGCCCGCUGAGGCCUAGCGGGGGCGAGAGGGAGCACCUGCAAGCUCAGGGGAAAGGAAGUGGCUGGAUCGGAGUUCUGGGUCCUGGUAGGAACAUAGGGCCGACUUGGCGGGGAAGAGGAUAGGGGAGCCAAGACCCUGCUGGAGAGCCUCUCCUGGGGUCCCUGAGUCCAGGCCCCUCCCUCAGUGCGUGGCAAGCCUUUGGUGAGACCCUUGAUGCUCUUUUCCUGCCUAAAAUCCACACUGAGAUGUGAGGCGCACUCUUCCAAGGUAAAAACUCCUGACUCCCAGCCCCCAAGAAUCCUUCACUGCGCUCUGCGAGGAAGACAGCCGCUUACCCCCUGCCCAUAGCCUGCCUCCAGCAGAUCAGAGCAUCAGGUCCUGCGGUAAACAGUUAGCUUAAGCCUGAUCUGCCGCUGAGCCUAUCUCUCCAGGUGAACCAAAGAGGACAUGCAAAGGAUUUCUUUUCGCGGAAGCCAAAAAUCUGGAUUGUACCCCUAGGGCUGUGUGGAUGGGCUGCGCUGUGGGGGCAUAUAUAGCAGAAACAAUUGUCUGUGAAUGGGUCCCAUCGCAGAACUGCCUGGAAGGGUGUGUAGGGAAGGAGGGCUGGAUGGGGUGAUGGCUCUUCUCAAGCCUGGAAUGUGAGACACCACGAGCACUGAGUGGAAAUGGAGCUGCCCUAGGAAGCAUUGGAGCUUUGUGGCGUGGGGGCUUCAUGUGAGCUACAGCUGUGGGGACCGAGACCCAAGGACCAGAGCCAACCUUCGGGUUGGGCCACCCCCUUUUGUCUUCUUUAUCUCAGACAAACUCUGCUGGGAUUCCCGUUUGGGCCAAAGCUGCAUGGGGAAUGAAAGGCAGACACUGAGAACUAGGGCUUCGCCCUUCGAAGUCUCCCCACCCCGUUUGUUCCCAUGCUAUAGGAAAAAGAAGUCUAAUAAUUGGCAACAAUAAAAAUAAAAAUAGUUAUUAAAGGAAGUAAUCUUCUCUUCUCCCUUCAGUUUGGGAUCCACUAAAGUAAAUGAUAACCAGAUUGCUUAGGUACUUGAGACCCUCAGCUGAGCCCUGUGCCCCACUCUGCAGUGGCCAGGGGAAGGGUAUGGGCCUUUUCAGAUAUUUAGGGGCUUUGAAGGAUGACUGAAACUGCCAGUCAGACCAAGCAGAAUUAUGAAGUCCACUUCAGAGCAUUACCUGUUUCUGAGAUUUUAGGAAGUGUUGGGGACCUUGGGGGAGGGUGGGGUGUCUCAACAAAGGGACAAAUUAACCCCUGCCUCCACCUGCUAGUGAUGAUAGAGUUGAUCUCUUGAUUUUUUUAUUGAAGCUUCGGUACUGCCUCUGGGCAGCGCCUGGAAAAUGUGAUGGAUCGUCAAUGAUCUGGCAAUGCCCUGAGAACAUGUUCUCAGCCAUGCCCUGAGAACAAAUACUAGGAGAUCUCCUGGGCCUUCCCAGACAACCCAUCUCCUCAGCUCACCACGGAAGACAGACGUGCCCACAGGAACCCUUCGAUUUGGAAGGAGAUAUUCCCGAAAUGGAGAAGAGCUCUGUUGCCAUUUCUACCCAGGACCUCCGGGCCAGUUCUUGCACCUGUGUGCAAUAUGGUCACCAGGGUUGAAAUACUCUUCUGUGUAGCUUUCUAGAAACAGUGUGACAUUUGUGGACAGAGGAAAGUAAGGGAUUAGGCAAGCAGGAGGAGGCAAAAUAUUGAUGGUGCCCUAAGCAAUUCACCAAGAAAGAAACUUAACUGCAGCCAUCUGGGAGUGAGAUUCAGUCUGUCAAGUGGGUCCUGACCCCUCCCAGGCCUAGCCCAUCUGGGUUGCUCAGCCUAGAAAAGCAGCAGCUGGGUCCACAGAAGAGAAGGAGGAAGUGUUGGGGAAGAAAGGAGGGUAGAGAAGGGAGGGGAGAGGAAGGGAGAUAAGCCGGACUUGGUGGGGCCUUGGGGUGGAGUAUUCCUAAGAAGGAGGUGGGAGACUCAGUUCAGGCUCUGGUGGAAGCCCGAAGUUGGGCGAGAGUCAGGGACCUAACAGCCCCUCUUCUCUGCGGCUGAGUAUUGGAUGCCCUCCAGUGGCACCUCAGCCGUUGCUCAGUCUAGCAGAGGCAUCAAAAGAGGUAGGGAAGAGAUAGGAGGUCCCAGCAGGUGAGAAUGGCUGGAAGGAGGCAGGGCAGGAGACAGGAACUAUAAGGGGGACAGGAGCAGGAUCAGGAACUGUAGGGGGACAGGACUCCCUUGAGAAGGACAGUGGUGACUGGGGCAGCUUGGCAUUGACAUUGAGACGGUGGACAAAUGCUGGGCAUUCAAAGGGCUGCAUGUGCAAGUACUGGGGACUUCGAAUUCUCAGAUUUCUGGGACAAGGAGCAGCUGCUGCCUCCCAAGCCAGCCCCAAGGAGAGAAGAGGGUGGCCCAGCAGCUUUGCCAGCUGGAGCUGGGAAGCCUGGAGUGUGGAGGUGCUCCCGGCCACCCAGCUGUAUCCUCCCUUGGAGUGAGAGGGUGUUAAGCCGCCUGUCAAGUGACGAUCCUUGCAGCUCACGUCCCUUGAAUGACUGUGCUGGAAACGCCCCCAGCACAACAACCUCGGUAACAAGGCCUCGCAUUGCCCGGUGCGCACUGACGGCCUCGAGGCGACCCCGCCUGGGCACUGCCCGCCGGCGCCCUCCCGCUGCCUCCCGGACCCCUCAGGCUGCAAGAAGAAGCGGAGGCGGCAGAGGCGCCUGGACCCACUUUAUUCCGAUAUUCCGCCUGCAAAGGCGGUGGAACGAAGCGUAAGGCUCAGGGAUGGUAGUCCCCAGAGAGGAGGGUCCCUGAGGCGCUGCGCAAGCCCCCCCUCCCCAACCUUUCGGGCCAAGUCAGACGAAGCCUCGGAAAGGCUCGGUCUGUUUUGCUGACCAAAUCUCCUUGUUAGCCGUUUCCGCCUGACAAGCCUGGCGCGGGCGUUGGCCUUCUCCUCUCCGGGUGGCCACCUCCAAGGCUGCGCGGGGAGCGAUGGGGCCCGGCCCUGCAGAGGGCUGCCUGGACCUUGAAGUUUGGAAAAACAAGAAGAGACUGAACCGGCUCCCUCCCUUCUCCGCAGACACACACGCACCGUCAGGCCGCCGCCACUUCCUGCCUUUGUUUUUCUUCCUCCAAACAUUUUUUGGCCUCUUGCAUUAGCCGCGGUGGGGCUCUGGGUUGACGAUAAAAGGAAAUACACUCUGAAGACAGUUUUCUGGAGAUGGACCGCGCUGUGGAGCUCCUGAGAAAGAACAGCUCCUGGGAAGCCAGUCGCCAGGGCCAGUGUCACAGCCUUACCCGCUCCGGCCUCUUCAAGAAAUGGAACUCGGACUUGGCCUUCCGGGGCGGCUUUGGCUUCAGUCGGGUCUUUCCCAGAGCCCGGUGGGCUAAGCUCGGCUGUUGGACCUCCUGCAAAGCGGAAGAGUCAAUCAUAGGCUCCAGAGCAAAGUCAAAACCAAGGACCCGAAGGUCUGCCUCCCCUUUUUCCCCUAGAUUUGGUCAGAUCCUCAGAGCUGCGCCCACCCCUCACCCCAGCCCCCUGCCUGGAGAAACCUUCACAUUCACACCGCCAGCAUAUUCCGCACACGAGGGCAGGAGCGGGCAAAGCUGGGACAUUGCGCAGCCUUGGGGAGCUGAGUACCCGUCUCC